GACGAACGCUGGCGGCGUGCUUAACACAUGCAAGUCGAACGGAAAGGCCCUGCUUUUGUGGGGUGCUCGAGUGGCGAACGGGUGAGUAACACGUGAGUAACCUGCCCUUGACUUUGGGAUAACUUCAGGAAACUGGGGCUAAUACCGGAUAGGAGCUCCUGCUGCAUGGUGGGGGUUGGAAAGUUUCGGCGGUUGGGGAUGGACUCGCGGCUUAUCAGCUUGUUGGUGGGGUAGUGGCUUACCAAGGCUUUGACGGGUAGCCGGCCUGAGAGGGUGACCGGCCACAUUGGGACUGAGAUACGGCCCAGACUCCUACGGGAGGCAGCAGUGGGGAAUAUUGCACAAUGGGCGGAAGCCUGAUGCAGCAACGCCGCGUGCGGGAUGACGGCCUUCGGGUUGUAAACCGCUUUCGCCUGUGACGAAGCGUGAGUGACGGUGAUGGGUAAAGAAGCACCGGCUAACUACGUGCCAGCAUCCGCGGUGAUACUUAGGGUGCGAGCGUUGUCCGGAUUUAUUGGGCGUAAAGGGCUCGUAGGUGGUUGAUCGCGUCGGAAGUGUAAUCUUGGGGCUUAACCCUGAGCGUGCUUUCGAUACGGGUUGACUUGAGGAAGGUAGGGGAGAAUGGAAUUCCUGGUGGAGCGGUGGAAUGCGCAGAUAUCAGGAGGAACACCAGUGGCGAAGGCGGUUCUCUGGGCCUUUCCUGACGCUGAGGAGCGAAAGCGUGGGGAGCGAACAGGCUUAGAUACCCUGGUAGUCCACGCUGUAAACGGUGGGUACUAGGUGUGGGGUCCAUUCCACGGGUUCCGUGCCGUAGCUAACGCUUUAAGUACCCCGCCUGGGGAGUACGGCCGCAAGGCUAAAACUCAAAGGAAUUGACGGGGCCCCGCACAAGCGGCGGAGCAUGCGGAUUAAUUCGAUGCAACGCGUAGAACCUUACCUGGGUUUGACAUGGAUCGGGAGUGCUCAGAGAUGGGUGUGCCUCUUUUGGGGUCGGUUCACAGGUGGUGCAUGGCUGUCGUCAGCUCGUGUCGUGAGAUGUUGGGUUAAGUCCCGCAACGAGCGCAACCCUUGUUCACUGUUGCCAGCACGUUAUGGUGGGGACUCAGUGGAGACCGCCGGGGUCAACUCGGAGGAAGGUGGGGAUGACGUCAAGUCAUCAUGCCCCUUAUGUCCAGGGCUUCACGCAUGCUACAAUGGCUGGUACAGAGAGUGGCGAGCCUGUGAGGGUGAGCGAAUCUCGGAAAGCCGGUCUCAGUUCGGAUUGGGGUCUGCAACUCGACCUCAUGAAGUCGGAGUCGCUAGUAAUCGCAGAUCAGCAACGCUGCGGUGAAUACGUUCCCGGGGCU
rnacentral:rRNA from 1 species